CCAAAAAAACUUUUAACCACACACACAUAUCACUCUAUACAGAUACUUUAUCUUCUGCCCUUAAAAGGGACCCUCCUCUUCAUACUCCAAAGAAAAAAAAAUUCAUUUGUUUUUUGAAAAAAGACUCUUUCACAACACCCAUCUAUAACCUCUCAUCUCCCUCUAACAACUUACUGCAACUACUCCAUGAAAACUCUUUACUAAACAUCACUCAACCACGUCGGCACUACUUAAGCACCUCCCUUCACACCGGCGGUGCAUGAACAAACGCAACCACCACCAAAUAACAACUCAGCCACAAACCGCAUCCAUGCAACAACCACAGACCGCUCUCUCUCCACCACCACAACAUCGUCCCCGAAGAUAUUGGAAGAUCACGAAAACAACUUUGGUAUUUUCUAACUUAAUUAAUAUUUAUGUACUUGAGUAUGUUCCCAUGAAAGUUGCAUUAUAAUAUGAAUCCAUACAUAUAUACCUAUGAGUGUUAACUAUUUUGAGACUUUGUUGGAGUUUAAUAUUGUUUUCUUAUUUCUUUCAUUUGCAUCUUGAUUGUUGUUAGAACAAACACGCUUUGCUGAAAUUCAUGGGCUGUCAUACUUAUCUUGGUUGCACAAGUUUUAUCUUGUUUUGGAAAUUCCAUGGAACAUAGAAAGUUUAUAAAAAGAAAGGAGGUUUUUUAAUAUAACUGGUUGUUGUUGUUUUCAUUCAUAACAGAAAGUAAGAUAGAGAUAUUGUUGAUUAAUUUUCAUGGGUUUUAUUUUUCCAUCGCCAUGUGUCAACUUGUGAUUAGUGGCUUUUGAGAAUUGAAAAAAGUUAUUCUAUCCCUUGACCUACACCAACAAACUCAGUAAUCCGAUGCUUCCACUUCUUCAUAGAAACCGUUGCCGGCAACGGAUUUCAACACAUUAUAACAGCUCAAACGCUCCGAAAAACUGUCGUCGUACUUUGAGAAUUUGAGAAUCACCGCAUUGCUAUGACUCUCGUUUGUUUUCAUUCUCUUCUUUGUUUGCCUUGAUUUUUCCUUUCACUUUUAUUAUCUUAUUAACUGGAUUUUAAAGUUUGAUUUCUUUUGUUUCUUAGUCUGUUUUGAUUCAUUGAAAAGUUGAAUGAAGUUCAUGGCAGGAGUUAAGAAAAGAUAGGAAUAUAUCUCUCAGUUUCAUUUCCAGCUUGUGUUUUCACUACAGUAUUGAAAAGGCAGGAGUUAAGAAAAUGAGGAACGACCGCCCUUUUUAUUUUAUUUUAUUAUUCUUUUAAUUUAUGUUUUUUCAUUUAGGGCUAAUAUUUUGUGGGCUUGGAUUCAAAAGACCAUUUAUUAUCAAACCUCAUUUAUUACAUGAACUAUCCUUUCUGCAUUUCUUUCUAUGAUUAAUGUAAAUUAGCAACUAAUUGCUUGAUUAAUAUUUUAU
rnacentral:lncRNA from 1 species